AUAUAGUAUUGGAUGGACAAAACAAAUGUGAAUAAUUUAUAUUUGAAGAUAGAGAAGACACACUCCUGCAGAGAGGGGAAAACAUUGUCUUUACCAAAACAAAUAGGAAAAAGAGACUAUUAGAGGACUAUUAUCCAAUAUAUACAAUGAACUGAAGAAGUUAGACUCCAGAGAAUCAAAUAACCCUAUUUAAAAUGUGGUACAGAGAUAAAUAAAGAACUCUCAACUGAGGAAUACCAGAUGGCUGAGAAAAAAAAAAAAAAAACAAAACAAAACUAAAGAAAUGUUCAGCAUCCUUAGUCAUGAGGAAAAUGAUCAAACCCAGAAAGAAAUCCCAAGUUAAUAACCACUUCAAAACUGAAGAUCACAGGAAACUACACAUGACUAUACAGCAUGAUAUUGACCAUGUGGAUGUAGUGAAAAUACAAAUACUGACAAAUAUGAAUGUGGAUCAGAGAAAAUAACAUAUCACUGGAC
rnacentral:antisense_RNA from 1 species